rnacentral:rRNA from 1 species
GCUUACGGCCCACACCGCCUGGUUCACGCCCGAUCUCGUUUGAUCUCGGAAGCUAAGAUAGGGUUGGGCCUGGUUAGUACUUGGAUGGGAGACCGCCUGGGAAUACCAGGUGCAAGCU